AAUUGGCCAAGGCCACGUAUAAUCAACCGAGCUUGAAAAAGGCGUCAUUUAUGUCAAUGAGUUCGAUGUUCUGCAUCUCUUCCUGUUGUUCAUAAGUCACUCCCGUUUCGAAGCUUUGUCCGCCGAAAGGCACGAGUUAUUUUUGAAUACAGGUUUAAAAGAUAUGUCUAACAUGAUCACCGGUACCGUUAAGUUCUUCAACGAAACCAAGGGCUUCGGCUUCAUCCAGCAAGAAAACGGCCCGGACGUGUUCGUACACUUCAGCGCCAUCCAAGGCAACGGUUUCCGUACCCUGGCUGAAGGCCAGCGUGUACAGUUCUCCGUGACCCAAGGCCAGAAAGGCCCGCAGGCUGAGAACGUAACUGCUCUGUAAUUGCACAGAAUUUAAAAAAGCCGCUGCCUGGCAGCGGCUUUUUG
rnacentral:sRNA from 1 species